GGAAUAUAAGAACCCGUUUCUUAACUUUUAACUAAAAAAGUUAAGAACCGGCUCUUAAAUAUCUUAAUUGAGAGCCGGUUCUUAACUUUUUUAGUUAAAAGUUAAGAGACGGAUUCUUAUAUUCC
rnacentral:pre_miRNA from 1 species